AUGAACAAUUCAGGGGCUCCCUGCCUCCUCCAGGCCCCUCUGGUGUGUCGCUGGCAGAAUCUGGGGCUUAAGGAACAGGGCAAGCUGAAUAAUCAAGACCAUGGAACAAAACUGGUGCUGGAAUCAGGCAGGCUCCAUCUUCAUGGUCUCUUUAGCGGUCCGUCUCCAGGGAAGCUGAUUGGAGAGGAAAGAUGCAGGGAAGCGGCCCGGCGCUCGAUCAGCUGUGUCACCAGGAAACGGGGAGGAAGUGCUGUCCCCAGGCUGGUGCUGGUCAGCGUCUGCAGUCUGCUCUUGCUGGGCAUCUGGCUGUCCCUCGGAGGAGAGGCUCCAGGUGCUGGCCCCGCUCCAUGCGAGAAGAAAGGCAUGGCCAGAUUGACGGCGAAACUGCAAAAUGGCAGCGGGUCUGAGAGGAACACAGAUGAGCUCCAGUCGAUAAAGCUGCACCUGCAGAAGCGCAGCCGCCGCAGAGGCAGGACACCAGGGGACACCUGAGUUUGUCCUUGUGUCGUGUUUUUUAAAGUCUUAGAGGCAGAAUCAAAGGCAGGGGCUCGCCAGUAUGUCGCGGUGCCAAACACCAGAGACCAAGCCCCCCCGCCCAUAAAUUGGGGUGGUUGAUUUCACCUCCAUCCUGCAGGCCUGGGUGUGUUUCUUAUUUGCUCAUCUUUUACUGGCAUCACCCCCUCCCCGGGUCCUGGGGGAGAUCUGCAGGCUCUGGAACGUUGCCUUUGAACAUAUCCUGGAUUCGAGCAUCAAGAGGAGGUGGCGAGGGCUGGGGGGCCCCCCUGACGUGCGGCUCCAGCAUCAGCCUCUGCAAUUACCAGCCCGAUUCCCACAGACGGGAACUGCAAAGUGUGAACCACAUGGGCGCAAGGCGGUGACGGUGUCGGCCGCAAAUGACUCUCGGCCCUGCUGCCACGGCCGCCGUCCUCGCCCUCUGCUUUUCACCUUUUAUCCUUCUCAGCGUCAUGACUUAAUCCACUCUAAUGAGGUGACUCGACUGCCAAAACCCAGCGGCCACGCGGCUCUCUUCUGGCACAGCGUGGGGGUUCGUAAGAAGCCGAGCAAGAAGGGGCUUUGUCAGGCUUCCAGGAGAGGAGCCAGCGCUCCUUUGACGAGGGUCCCUUCUGGCGGCAAGUUUGCUCCAUCCGCGUGCGGCCGUGCGCUGUGUCCGUCAGGGCGGGGACCCGGCAAGGUUGCCUGCCUGCGCGUUUAACUUACCGGCGCUUGAAGGACGCGGCUGGUGGCCACAUGUCACUGUUUACAACCAGCAGGUGACGGCCAACAGCGGCGAGCCUGCGAAUCCGCUCGUCCCUCUCCUUACCCAUCUGUCCACGCGUCCUGGGUUGGAAGCGCCCGAGCGGAGAUGCAGCGGCGAGGACCACGGCGGCAAGAUGGUGCUGCUGACAAACGCCCACGGAGGAGCCGGGGAGAAAAUAACCUCCUUGCGUCUAAUGUGGCAGCGAGGUUUAGCGGCGGCGGAAAGGAGAGCCGG
rnacentral:lncRNA from 1 species